AGGAUAAAGAAAAUUGUUUGGAAGAGACGAUUACUUGCCAAUCUACUACAAUUCGAAAUUGUUUGUAUGGUGUUUUUCAAGCAAAUUAUUGUACACCUAUAAACAUUUUAAACAAUAAUGGGAGUUUAGUCAAGUCAUCAAUAAAGAGUAAUAAUGAGAUUGCAUCAUCAAUUAAGAUGCAAUUGCAAGGUAUUUUUGACAAAACAACUCAUUCUCAAGACGCUCAUGAUACAGAAUAGAAGUUGGUGUGGAUCAGUCUGAAGUUGAGGAGUUUGCUAAUUGGAUUGCUUCUAUCGGUGAUGGAAAAAUUGGUGGUCCAAGUGAUGGCUAUGCAGAUGUUGAUAGUCCGUAUGAUUUGUUACUACAGUGUGACAGUGAUCCGAUCAAGACGAUUGUUGAUUGUAUAUUUCCAGGGUUUCUGAACGGUAGUUGUAAUCACAACUAUAUGCAAAGUCGUGCUGUACUAGCAUCAACGCUAGAUGUUGUCAA